rnacentral:rRNA from 1 species
UACUGGUCAUCUUGAGUUGUAUUGAAGUAGGCGGAAUAUGUAGUGUAGCGGUGAAAUGCAUAGAUAUUACAUAGAACACCAAUUGCGAAGGCAGCUUACUAAGUACUAACUGACGCUGAUGGACGAAAGCGUGGGUAGCGAACAGGAUUAGAUACCCUGGUAGUCCACGCCGUAAACGAUGGAUACUAGCUGUUCGGGGCCUUGAGUUCUGAGCGGCUAAGCGAAAGUGAUAAGUAUCCCACCUGGGGAGUACGUUCGCAAGAAUGAAACUCAAAGGAAUUGACGGGGGCCCGCACAAGCGGUGGAGCAUGUGGUUUAAUUCGAUGAUACGCGAGGAACCUUACCAGGGCUUAAAUGUAGUCUGACAGCUUUAGAGAUAGAGUUUUCUUCGGACAGAUUACAAGGUGCUGCAUGGUUGUCGUCAGCUCGUGCCGUGAGGUGUCAGGUUAAGUCCUAUAACGAGCGCAACCCCUGUCGUUAGUUGCCAGCAUGUCAUGAUGGGGACUCUAACGAGACUGCCGGUGCAAACCGCGAGGAAGGUGGGGAUGACGUCAAAUCAUCACGGCCCUUACGUCCUGGGCCACACACGUGCUACAAUGGCCGGUACAGAGAGCAGCCACGUCGCAAGGCGGAGCGAAUCUAUAAAACCGGUCACAGUUCGGAUC